CUACGGGAGGCAGCAGUGGGGAAUAUUGCACAAUGGAGGAAACUCUGAUGCAGCAACGCCGCGCGGAGGAUGACACUUUUCGGAGCGUAAACUCCUUUUAUAUAGGAAGAAGAUGACGGUACUAUAUGAAUAAGCGCCGGCUAACUCCGUGCCAGCAGCCGCGGUAAUACGGAGGGCGCAAGCGUUACUCGGAAUCACUGGGCGUAAAGAGCGUGUAGGCGGAUUAAAAAGUCAGAAGUGAAAUCCUAUAGCUUAACUAUAGAACUGCUUCUGAAACUCUUAAUCUAGAAUAUGGGAGAGGUAGAUGGAAUUUCUGGUGUAGGGGUAAGAUCCGUAGAGAUCAGAAGGAAUACCGAUUGCGAAGGCGAUCUACUAGAACAUUAUUGACGCUGAGACGCGAAAGCGUGGGGAGCAAACAGGAUUAGAUACCCUCGUAGUC
rnacentral:rRNA from 1 species